AGAGUUUGAUCAUGGCUCAGGAUGAACGCUAGCGGCAGGCUUAACACAUGCAAGUCGAACGGUAACAGGUCCUUCGGGAUGCUGACGAGUGGCGCACGGGUGCGUAACGCGUAUGCAAUCUGCCCCUAUCAGGAGGAUAGCCCAGAGAAAUUUGGAUUAAUACUCCAUAAUAUUAUUGAAUCGCAUGGUUUAAUAAUUAAAGCUUCGGCGGAUAGGGAUGAGCAUGCGUCCUAUUAGCUAGUUGGUAGUGUAACGGACUACCAAGGCAACGAUAGGUAGGGGGCCUGAGAGGGUGAUCCCCCACACUGGUACUGAGACACGGACCAGACUCCUACGGGAGGCAGCAGUGAGGAAUAUUGGUCAAUGGACGCAAGUCUGAACCAGCCAUGCCGCGUGCAGGAUGACGGCCCUACGGGUUGUAAACUGCUUUUAUAUGGGAAUAAACCCCCGGACGUGUCCGGGGCUGAAGGUACCAUAAGAAUAAGGACCGGCUAACUCCGUGCCAGCAGCCGCGGUAAUACGGAGGGUCCAAGCGUUAUCCGGAUUUAUUGGGUUUAAAGGGUCCGUAGGCGGGAUAUUAAGUCAGUGGUGAAAGCCUACAGCUUAACUGUAGCACUGCCAUUGAUACUGGUAUUCUUGAGUAUAGUUGAAGUGGGCGGAAUAUGCCAUAGCGGUGAAAUGCAUAGAUAUGACAUAGAACACCUAUUGCGAAGGCAGCUCACUAAGCUAUUACUGACGCUCAGGGACGAAAGCGUGGGUAGCAAACAGGAUUAGAUACCCUAGUAGUCC
rnacentral:rRNA from 1 species